rnacentral:tRNA from 1 species
GCGGAAAUGGCGGAACGGCAGACGCGGCGGUCUUAAAAACCGCUGGGGGCAACCCCGUGUGGGUUCGAGUCCCACUUUCCGCACCA